rnacentral:rRNA from 1 species
CGAACGGGUGAGUAACGCGUGAGGAACCUGCCUCAAAGAGGGGGACGACAGUUGGAAACGACUGCUAAUACCGCAUAAGCCCACGGGUCGGCAUCGACCUGAGGGAAAAGGAGCAAUCCGCUUUGAGAUGGCCUCGCGUCCGAUUAGCUAGUUGGUGAGGUAAUGGCCCACCAAGGCGACGAUCGGUAGCCGGACUGAGAGGUUGAACGGCCACAUUGGGACUGAGACACGGCCCAG